ensembl:snRNA U5 U5 spliceosomal RNA
CGACUCUGGUGUCUCUUCAUUACGCACAAGCCUUUCGCCUUUUACUAAAGACUUCCGUGGAGAGGAACACUUACGAGUUCAACAUAUUUUUGGAAGGGCUUUGCUUCUGGCAGAGCC